AUAAAUGAAAAUUUAUUUGCCUCGUUCAUUACCCCAAUAAAUAUUAAGUCUACCUAUGGCAAUCUUAAUUAUUUUAUUUCCCACUAUGCUACUUCCCACCCUUAGCCAUUUAGUCAACAACCAACUGACCUCUAUUCAACAGUGACUAAUCCAACUUGUAUUUAAACAAAUAAUAACAAUGCAUAAUAUCAAGAGACGAACCUGAUCCCUUAUGUUAAUUUCCCUGAUUCUCUUUAUUGGUUCAACUAAUCUUCUUGGACUUCUACCUCAUUCAUUUACACCAACUACUCAAUUAUCAAUAAACUAAGGGAUAGCAAUUCCUUUGUGAGCUGGAGCAGUGAUCACCAGCUUCCACUUUAAGACAAAAGCUUUCUUAACCCACUUCCUACCAUUUCCUACCACAAGGCACACCUAUCCCACUUAUCCCCAUAUUAGUAAUCAUUGAUACUAUUAGCCUAUUCAUUAAACCAACAGCACUAGCUGUAUGAUUAACGGCCAACAUUACAGCCGUCCACCUACUAAUGCACUUAAUUGGAGGAGCUACUCUGGUAUUAUCAACUAUUAGUUUAUCCACAGCUUCAAUUACAUUUAUUAUUCUAGCUUUACUAACCAUCCUCGAUUUUGCUGUAGCCCUUAUUCUAGCCUAUGUCUUUACACUCCUAGUAAGCCUCUGCCUACAUGACAACACAUAA
rnacentral:lncRNA from 1 species